rnacentral:lncRNA from 1 species
UAAUAAUAGAGUUCCAUACAUAACUGAGACAUAAACAAAAUUAAUUACAAGCCUCUACAGAAGAUGGACUCAUCAGAGUGCGAGACAAUCAUGCACUCAUAAAAGAUUAUUGAUCCAUGGGAUCCUCAAAGGCUUCAAGGAGUAGGUCAGCGAUCAGUUCCUCACUACCUUCUUAUCUUGGGGGGGGGGGGCAAGGCAU